GCGCUCAUAGCUCAGCUGGAUAGAGCAUCGGCCUUCUAAGCCGAGGGUCGCAGGUUCGAGUCCUGCUGAGCGUA
rnacentral:tRNA from 1 species